rnacentral:lncRNA from 1 species
GAAGGAGCAUGGGUAACGUGGGGGGAUAGGACCAUCUGCUGCUUCCUGUUCCACACCACUCCACAGACAGCCUGGACAUUGGGCCCCAGCAGCAAGGGGUGGAGAGAGCCCAGAAGCAGAGGGAGUUAAUGCUGGGGCAAGGGAAGAAAUGGCAAAGCAACACUGGUAGAGAUGGGAGUAGAGAGGAGACAGCCAAAGAUGUUCCACUAUGGCAGCAGUGGAGGGGGCUCUGGGGCAGAGAAGGUGCCAGGAAGAGCGCGGGGUGCAGUCCAUCACUCUGUUGUUAGGCUUCUGUGUUGUGUUGGGCACAGCCAUGCUAUGGACCUGAGGGGCAGAGAGAGGGCAGAUCCAGAGGUCAGCAGUGGGAUCUAACACAGGGGCCAAAGAAGCAUGAAGGUUGUCUCUGACAAGUCGGUGUGAGGCUGAUGCUGACUCGCACCAGCUCGUUGCUCUCAAAGGGGAUGUGAAAUGGUGCCCAAAAAGCCCAGGAGCAGGGCAUGGGGAGAAAAGCAGAGUCCCACCCCUCUCCACCCAUCCCCAGAACAGACCUGCCUUUGUCCUCAGGCUCCGGAAGAACUGAGGAGUCCUUCUUGGAGGCUGUGUAUGAGGAGAUCAGCUACAGCCCUGUAUGGGAGAAGCAGACAGUGUUUGAUCACUCAGACAUUGCUAUCCUGCCCAGAGGUGAUCCAGAAGAUGGCUAUGAUGAUGCCAAGGAGGUUUCUGAACCUGAGAAUAAUUCUGACUCUGGGCAGGGUCACUGUGAGGUGCCCAGGAUAUGAGAGGAGGGAAAGGAGCCCAGGAAUGCAGUCAGAGGUAAGAGGGAAAUGAAAUGCAGCACUGCUAGUUACCAUGUAACUAUCAUAGAAGUACCAUUCUGUGUCUUAGGUGAAUUGCUGCAGUACCAAGAGCCCAGUCUCUCAUGAUGGGGAACCUGCCCCAGGGAGAUUUCCUUGGAGGAAAUGGGUCUUGCACAAAGGGCUCAUGGCCAGUGAGAAAAAGGAAGGAUUGUGAUGGAUAGCCCCAAAGGGGUAUCCUGUGGAACAAACCACAGUGCUUUUCUUACUGCUUGCAGGGGUGAGUCUGCAUUCCAGAGAAGUACUGGAGGCUCUAGAGUGGAUGGAGAUACCUUGUCCUUUUUCCUGAGCAGCACGGGCUACAAUGAUGUUGAAGAGGUGUCUCUGGCACAUCCCCAUGGGAAUAUGAGCACUGUGACACUAGAGUGGGGCACAACAUGAUCCCUGAGCCCCAGGCAGGGAGAACCCAUCUCUGCCAUGAACUUGAGUGUGGUUGCAAGGGAAGUUCGUGCUGCUUAGAGACCUGUGAGGUCCGUUUUCCCAUGGGCAGCAGUAGUGGGCCAUUUCCUCUUGUGUUAUUAUCUUGUUUUUAUAUCAUAUUCCUGUAUUUGUUCUUAUUAAAACUCCUUGGAAGUUCUGAUCCAG